rnacentral:rRNA from 1 species
GGAGUUAGCCGGUGCUUCUUCUGUGAGUGAUGUCCUUCCUGCCGGCUAUUAACCCGCAGGCCUUCUUCCUCACUGAAAGUGCUUUACAACCCGAAGGCCUUCUUCACACACGCGGCAUGGCUGGAUCAGGGUUGCCCCCAUUGUCCAAUAUUCCCCACUGCUGCCUCCCGUAGGAGUCUGGGCCGUGUCUCAGUCCCAGUGUGGCUGAUCAUCCUCUCAGACCAGCUACGGAUCGUCGCCUUGGUGAGCCGUUACCUCACCAACCAGCUAAUCCGACAUAGGCUCAUCCGAUAGCGCGAGGCCCGAAGGUCCCCCGCUUUCCCCCGUAGGGCGUAUGCGGUAUUAGCCUGGGUUUCCCCAGGGUUAUCCCCCACUACCGGGGCAGAUUCCUAUGCAUUACUCACCCGUCCGCCGCUCGCCACCAGGGAGCAAGCUCCCCGUGCUGCCGCUCGACUUGCAUGUGUUAGGCCUGCCGCCAGCGUUCAAUCUGAACCAAGAUCAAAUUCUGA